rnacentral:rRNA from 1 species
AGUGAACGCUGGCGGUAGGCCUAACACAUGCAAGUCGAACGGCAGCACAGUAAGAGCUUGCUCUUACGGGUGGCGAGUGGCGGACGGGUGAGGAAUACAUCGGAAUCUACUUUUUCGUGGGGGAUAACGUAGGGAAACUUACGCUAAUACCGCAUACGACCUACGGGUGAAAGCAGGGGAUCUUCGGACCUUGCGCGAUUGAAUGAGCCGAUGUCGGAUUAGCUAGUUGGCGGGGUAAAGGCCCACCAAGGCGACGAUCCGUAGCUGGUCUGAGGGGAUAGACAGCCACACUGGCACUGAGACAGGGUCCAGACACCGACGCGAGGCAGCGGUCGGGAAUAUUGGAGAAUGGGGGAAAGCCUGAUCCAGGCAUAUCGGGGAGAUGAUGAAGGACUUAUGGUGGGAAAGCCCUUUUGUUGGGAAAGAAAAGCAGCAGUUUAAUACCCCGCUGUUCUGACGGUACCCAAAGAAUAAGCACCGGCUAACUUCGUG